AGCCUGCAGUUACAUUUGUCUUAUUAGCUCUCUGUACCGUGUCAUAUUUGGUUCUACCACUGGGGGGUACUCUAGUCAAGAGGGUUCCUAGUAGCAUAAAAUGGUAGAAGAAGUAGAGUAGGGAGGAAGGAUGUGUUAUGCACAUGGAGAAGCUUCCCUACCAGUGUGGUCGUGUUUUUCCCUGAUUUGAGGAACCUGUGGUUCUUAUGCUUAAAUAGGGUUCAUCGUGCAGGCAUGAGGCAGCAACUCAACUAUAACUAAACCCUCGAUCAAUAUGGAAUUAAUUGUCUGCGUUUUAUCAACAACACCUUUGUCAUCUGCUGUUUGUGCCUUGAGCUAUAGUUUGUUCCUAAUAUCAAUCGCUGCUUGGACACUUGGAUUCAGACCGUUGUGAACUCAUCCGCUCUGCACUUAAGUACUGUUUCUUAUUACUUGUGGGACUCUAGAGACUGAGCUCUUGGCUACCAAAGACAUUAUUUGAAAGAGCUGAAUUAUUCUGAUGUAUUGCCUUGGGAAAGAAUGCCUCAUGUAUUGUGUAUGGUUACUGACUGUAUGGUGUUUUAUGGUAUAAUACACAUGGCUCAUUGAAAUGCGAA